rnacentral:rRNA from 1 species
UAGGGAAUAUUGCUCAAUGGGGGAAGCCCUGAAGCAGCAACGCCGCGUGCAGGACGACGGCUCUACGAGUUGUAAACUGCUUUUGUACCGGGGUAAAAUGCUCUACGUGUAGAGUUUUGAAAGUACGGUACGAAUAAGGAUCGGCUAACUCCGUGCCAGCAGCCGCGGUAAUACGGAGGAUCCGAGCGUUAUCCGGAUUCAUUGGGUUUAAAGGGUGCGUAGGUUGUUUUAUAAGUUAGCGGUGAAAUACCGAUGCUCAACAUCGGGGCUGCCGCUAAUACUGUAGGACUAGAGAUCGGAUGCAGCAGGCGGAAUGUGUAGUGUAGCGGUGAAAUGCAUAGAUAUUACACAGAACACCGAUUGCGAAGGCAGCUUGCUAGGCCGGAUCUGACACUGAUGCACGAAAGCGUGGGGAUCGAACAGGAUUAGAUACCC